rnacentral:rRNA from 1 species
AGAGUUUGAUCCUGGCUCAGAUUGAACGCUGGCGGCAGGCCUAACACAUGCAAGUCGAGCGGAUGAGUGGAGCUUGCUCCAUGAUUCAGCGGCGGACGGGUGAGUAAUGCCUAGGAAUCUGCCUGGUAGUGGGGGACAACGUUUCGAAAGGAACGCUAAUACCGCAUACGUCCUACGGGGGAAAGUGGGGGAUCUUCGGACCUCACGCUAUCAGAUGAGCCUAGGUCGGAUUAGCUAGUUGGUGAGGUAAAGGCUCACCAAGGCGACGAUCCGUAACUGGUCUGAGAGGAUGAUCAGUCACACUGGAACUGAGACACGGUCCAGACUCCUACGGGAGGCAGCAGUGGGGAAUAUUGGACAAUGGGCGAAAGCCUGAUCCAGCCAUGCCGCGUGUGUGAAGAAGGUCUUCGGAUUGUAAAGCACUUUAAGUUGGGAGGAAGGGCAGUAAGUUAAUACCUUGCUGUUUUGACGUUACCAACAGAAUAAGCACCGGCUAACUUCGUGCCAGCAGCCGCGGUAAUACGAAGGGUGCAAGCGUUAAUCGGAAUUACUGGGCGUAAAGCGCGUGCAGGCGGGCGGACAAGUCUGAUGUGAAAGCCCCGGGCUUAACCUGGGAAGUGCAUUGGAAACUGUUCGUCUUGAGUUCUGGAGAGGAAGGGGGAAUUCCCGGUGUAGAGGUGAAAUUCGUAGAGAUCGGGAGGAAUACCAGUGGCGAAGGCGCCCUUCUGGACGGCAACUGACGCUGAGACGCGAAAGCGUGGGGAGCAAACAGGAUUAGAUACCCUGGUAGUCC